rnacentral:rRNA from 1 species
GAUGAACGCUGGCGGCGUGCCUAAUACAUGCAAGUCGAGCGAAAGGACGCGAAGCUGUCUUCGAUGAUGUUAGCGGCGGACGAGUGAGUAACACUUGGCUCACCUACCUAUGAUACUUGGAUAACUUCGUGACUCCGGAGGUAAUCCCCGACGAUAUUCUUAACCGCAUUGUUCAAAAGUGUAUGACGGUCUUGCUGUCACUCAUAGAUUCAUCCGCGGUGUAUUAGCUAGUUGGUAGGGUAACGGCGUACCAAGGCAACGAUGAAUAGCCGACCUGAGCGGGUGAUCGGACACACUGGAACUGAGCCACGGCUGAGACUCCGCCGAGAGGCCGAAGUGGGGAAUCUUUCGGAAAGGGCGAAAGCCGGACGGAGCCACGCCGCGUGAGUGAUGAAGGUCUUCGGAUCGUAAAACUCUUUUAUUAGGGAAGAAGAUAUGUGGAAGUACCGGUGCACGUCUUGACGGUACCUACACAGAAAGCCACGGCUAACUACGUG